rnacentral:misc_RNA from 1 species
GUUUCUGAUCCAAGGCCAAAAUACUGUCUAAGAACACGACCCUGGCAUAUUCCACUGUUCCCUGCAAACUUAUAAUCUGAUCGUUGAUUGUUCUCAGUGGCUGAAGCUUUAUCUUUGCGUUGAUAGUAUCUAUCAACGACCCAGUGGUGAAGAUAAGUUUCAUGGAGGGGGACAGGAUUCCCAGACUCAUCAAUUACUUCAGCAUUAAAGCUCUUGAGAGCAAUAUGACCUCUUGGGAAGUCAACAUUGAAAUAAUUUCUGUUCUCAACUGAUCCUGGUCCCAAUACAAACUCAGGAGAGAGAAAAGUAGCGGAUUUGAUAUUAUGAUUUCCAUUUUCCAGAGGAUCUUGCGAACAAGAGAAGUUAAAUACAAGUAGCAAUAUUGCCAAUGAAAGUAAUGAACCUUGAGAACAAAGAGCCAUAUUCCCCAAAUUCAGUAGUUGCUGCCCUUUCAAAGUCGUACGUUGAUCAUACACUCAAAUUAUUUCUUCGUUUCUAGCAAGUGAACAUAAUC